rnacentral:lncRNA from 1 species
AAACAGCUUGCUGUUACAUUACUACAGUACUUCUCAGCAUCUUUAAUAGCCUACUGAACACUUAAAUCUCAGAUGGGGAUGUUUUAAGUAUUAUUUCUGAACUUUUAGACUUUUCAACAACAUAGAAUUUUUUUAAAACUCAUGUGAUGGUACCAAUAUUCCGUAGGGCUUUGACAGAAGGAAAAUCUAAGUGGUAUUAGGCAUUGAACACAGAAAGCUCAAAGUAGGAAGAAAAGUGCCAAACCCCAACUCCUCAUAAAUAGAGACAGAAGUCAUGCUUCAGUCAUCAGAGCCAGAGCUGUGGUUCUUAACCGUUUUUCUUUUGGUUCAUGAGCCUUGUUUCAGAAUUUAAUGAGCACAUGGAUGCAUAGAGGAUAAGAAGCUUCAAUCAAGAGCCUUGAAAUUCACAGAGCAUGCUGAAGAGAUGCUAAGUCUUCUUAGGAAUUGAAAAAUCUUCUCUAAGUGAAUUUUGAUCCUUCCUAUCAGCAGAGAUGGAAAGAACCUGCAGACUGAAAUAAAUACUAACACAAGAAAGAAAUUCCACGUGUGGACUAGCAUGGGAUAAUAGUGUAGAAUGCAUAGAAGCAGGACUUAGAUGAAAUAUAGUAGUCACUUUCAUAUAUGGAGUGCUUACUAUUACAUGCUUUAUCUUAUUUAAUCAAGAGAUAUUUAUCCUGGUAUUUAGGCUGUGGCUUCUGAAAUCAGACUUCUUGGUUUUGAAUAUUGUUUUUGCCAUUUACUGGUGAUGCAACCUGGAAGAAAUUACUAAAAUACCUCUAAGUCUUGUAAUUCCCAUCUCUAAAGUAGCAAUCAUAAGACAGUAGUAUCUUUUUCAUCAGGCUUGUAGAGGUUUCAUGACAUAAUUGCUGCAGGCUGAUUUCUAACUCAUAGUAAAGCUCAGUAAAUAUUACCUAAUGUUUUUCAUAUUAUUAUUAGGUGGAUAUUAUUCUUAGCAUUUUCAUUUCAUGGAAGAGGUAACUGAGAACAGGAGUGAUCUAUAGCAGACUCUUCCUAUCAACCCCAUUUAGGGGUUCAUUAUUGGGGAGAAACAGGAAAGCAGUGUCAUAUAUUUCAGCCUCAUUUUUCUCUCAGAAGAAAUUAUAUUAAUAAAAUAAUGUUCUUGGUCUCUUUCUAAAUUAUUUUUCUCUGAGUCAUCCUUUAUGCAAGUGAUAUUUAUAACUUUGUGAAUCACACCCACACUUGUGUGGGUUCUCUCCUUGGGUCAUAUGUAUUUUUAGUGUGUCUUUAUAUUUUG